UACAGAGGGGGCAAGCGUUGUUCGGAAUUACUGGGCGUAAAGGGCGCGUAGGCGGCCCGCUAAGUCGAACGUGAAAUCCCCGGGCUCAACCCGGGAACUGCGUCCGAUACUGGUGGGCUUGAAUCCGGGAGAGGGAUGCGGAAUUCCAGGUGUAGCGGUGAAAUGCGUAGAUAUCGUGGAGGAACACCGGUGGCGAAGGCGGCAUCCUGGACCGGCAUUGACGCUGAGGCGCGAAAAGCCAGGGG
rnacentral:rRNA from 1 species